UAACGGUGUAGUGAAGUGGUUAACACAUCAGAUUUUGACUCUGAAAUACGCGGGUUCAAAUCCCGCCGCCGUUG
rnacentral:tRNA from 1 species